UACGAACCGUCCAAACGUUAUUCGGAAUUACUGGGCUUAAAGGGUGCGUAGGCGGCCCGGUAAGUUGGGUGUGAAAUCCCUCGGCUUAACCGAGGAAUUGCGCCCAAAACUGUCGGGCUCGAGGAAGAUAGAGGUGAGCGGAACUUAGGGUGGAGCGGUGAAAUGCGUUGAUAUCCUAAGGAACACCGGUGGCGAAAGCGGCUCACUGGGUCUUUGCUGACGAUGAGGCACGAAAGCUAGGGGAGCGAAGAGG
rnacentral:rRNA from 1 species